AUUUACCAUUUACAUAGUGUAAUUUAUUGACGGUCACCAACUAGCCCCGGAGAUAGGCUAUCCAAAGUCAAACCAACUUUGCCACCAUCGCACACCAGCCGACUGAAGCAAAUUGGCGAAAGAAGUUGGCUAGCACUAGCUAGUCUAAGCGACUUCAAGACACAAGACCUGGUUAGACUGUUUCAAGUUAUCUUAGAAGGGUUGUGACUAAGACGGCCAACUAUUUGCUUCUGUUGACAGCUCCAGGGGGAAGGAAAUGGGCCAUUAUUUUUUCCAUCCGGCGUCUCACCAGGACACCAUCCAGUCCUUGAAUGAAUUCCCCAGAUGUGUGGCGAGGGAUAGGUUGUCUAAUCCCCAACUUGGCCUUCCGUGUGGAAAUUGAUGUCAUCCCCAUCCAGCCACAACCGGGCACAUCACAGGAGUUUGCCCGGGAACCAGACUGAAAAGCCAUCAUUAGGUUAGCCUGUGGAGGGGAAAAAGUUUCCUCCAAAGGCAGAAUGGGUCCGUUCGUUAGCUCGGGAAUGAGGCAGCAAACCAAGUAAUCAACAGAGGGGAAUUGUGGGUCAUGUAAAACUAUUGGCUGCUGCAGCUGGCAGCUUGGGUACUUAUAUACUCUAUGGGUGAGACUGUUCUUCCGUAGGGUAGGUUGGUGGGGAGUCACUGCACGUGCGGGGCGUGUGUGUGUGCUACGCCUACGAUGAACAAGUGGUCUGACAUACAGUUCCGACCAAUUAUAUGGGCACCCUUGUACCUUUUAUUGAAUAAUUCCCCAUUUCUUCUCAAAUAAAUUGAAAAAUAAAUAAAUAAAGCUUUUGGUCA